rnacentral:lncRNA from 1 species
AUAACAAUAAUAAUGAUAACAAUGAUAAUAAUAAACAAUAAUAAUAAUAACAAUGAUAAUAAUAAACAAUAAUAAUAAUAAUAAUAAUAACAGUAAUAAUGAUAAUAAUUAAUAAUAAUAAUAAUAAAUGAUAAUAUGCAUCCAUCAAGCCCAAGCCCAUAAGCCUAAACCCACUAAUAAGCCCCAUCUUCAUCAAGCCCAAG